rnacentral:lncRNA from 1 species
AAAAAAUAACAGGAUAACGAAAGAAUUUAUAAGUUAUUAACUAAAAUUAGAAUGCAUAUAGUUAUGAUCCAAAAAAUAAAGGCAACAGUAGUAUACCGCUGCCAAACCUACCGCUUUUAUAGCAAUAAUAAAUAUAUAACAUUAAACUGACAACAUUAUAUGACAGGACUACAAUACAGUACAAUAGAAAAUCAGGCUAAUACUAGUUUACAACAAGGUCCUGAAUUGUAUGUACAUAUCUAACAUAAAGUAUACU